AUUCAAGUAGCUUAAUAUAGAGUAUAGCACUGAAGAUGCUGGGGUGAUAUUUAUAUCUUUGGAUA
rnacentral:tRNA from 1 species